UACAGAGGUCUCAAGCGUUGUUCGGAUUCAUUGGGCGUAAAGGGUGUGUAGGUGGCGCCGUAAGUCGGGUGUGAAAUUUCGGAGCUUAACUCCGAAACUGCAUUCGAUACUGCGGUGCUUGAGGACUGGAGAGGAGACUGGAAUUCCUGGUGUAGCGGUGAAAUGCGCAGAUAUCAGGAGGAACACCGAUGGCGAAGGCAGGUCUCUGGGCCACUACUGACGCUGAGAAGCGAAAGCCAGGGGAGCAAACGGG
rnacentral:rRNA from 1 species